AACACGGAUCCUGCCAGAAUUUAAAUAAAUAUGUAAAUCAAGAGAGGAGGCAGCAAGAAGAGCAAGUACAAUGAAAUUGAUCCUCAAGCUCGUUCUUGUUUGCAUUUUGUCAGCUGCUACUGCAGUGGAAAUGGCUAGAUUGGGAAUUGAAACAUCACAAUGUCUGGAGUGCACGCCACCAGCUCAUAUUGAAACAGCACAAUGCCCGGAGUGCAGGCCACC